rnacentral:rRNA from 1 species
AACGAACGCUGGCGGCAUGCCUAACACAUGCAAGUCGAACGAGACCUUCGGGUCUAGUGGCGCACGGGUGCGUAACGCGUGGGAAUCUGCCCUUGGGUUCGGAAUAACAGCGAGAAAUUGCUGCUAAUACCGGAUGAUGACGUAAGUCCAAAGAUUUAUCGCCCAAGGAUGAGCCCGCGUAGGAUUAGCUAGUUGGUGAGGUAAAGGCUCACCAAGGCGACGAUCCUUAGCUGGUCUGAGAGGAUGAUCAGCCACACUGGGACUGAGACACGGCCCAGACUCCUACGGGAGGCAGCAGUGGGGAAUAUUGGGACAAUGGGCGAAAGCCUGAUCCAGCAAUGCCGCGUGAGUGAUGAAGGCCUUAGGGUUGUAAAGCUCUUUACCCGGGAUGAUAAUGACAGUACCGGGAGAACAAAGCUCCGGCUAACUCCGUGCCAGCAGCCGC